rnacentral:rRNA from 1 species
UGCCAGCAGCCGCGGUAAUACGGAGGGUGCAAGCGUUAUCCGGAAUCACUGGGUUUAAAGGGUGCGUAGGCUGUUUGUUAAGUCAGAAGUGAAAUCCCGUCGCUCAACGACGGUCGUGCUUUUGAAACUGACAGACUUGAGUUAGGUGGAGGUGGGCGGAAUGAGUCAUGUAGCGGUGAAAUGCAUAGAUAUGACUUAGAACACCAAAUGCGAAGGCAGCUCACUAUACCUCAACUGACGCUGAGUCACGAAAGCAUGGGUAGCGAAGAGGAUUAGAUA